UACGGAGGGAGCUAGCGUUGUUCGGAAUUACUGGGCGUAAAGCGCGCGUAGGCGGCUCAUUAAGUCAGAGGUGAAAUCCCGGGGCUCAACCCGGGACUUCCUUUGAAACUGGCGAGCUAGAAUCCUGGAGAGGUGAGUGGAAUUCCGAGUGUAGAGGUGAAAUUCGUAGAUAUUCGGAAGAACACCAGUGGCGAAGGCGGCUCACUGGCCCGUAUCUGACGCUCAGGCGCGACAGCGUGGGGAGCAAACAGG
rnacentral:rRNA from 1 species